AUUACCUCUUUUCUUAUAGGGAUACAUAUCAUUUUAACUUAUUGAGUCUCUAAAAAAUUUUUUUGUGUUGUUUUGUUUUGUUUUUCUUGAUUUUUCUCUUGAGUUCUGUGCUUGGACAUCAAAUUUUCUGUUCAGGUCUGGUCUUUUCUUUAAAAAUUCUUGGAAUUCUUCUAUUUUGUUGAAUGACCAGUCUUUCUCUGUAAGAAUAUUGUCAGUUUUUCUGGGUAGUUGAUUCUUGGUUGUAGACCUCGUUCCCUUGCUUUCCACAAUAUCAUAUUCCAUGCCUUUCAGUCCUUCAGUGUGAAUGCAGCCAGAUCCUACUUUAUCCUCACUGUCGUUUCAUGGUAUCUGAAUGCCUUCUUCUUGGCAGUUUGUAAUAUCUUUUCUUUGGUCUGAUAGUUUUUGAAUUUGGCUUUAACAUUCCUGGGUGUUGUCAGUUGGGGAUUAAGUACAGGAGGUGUUCUGUGGAUUCUUUCAAUCUCCACUUUUCCCUCUUGUUCUAGGAUAUCAGAGCAGUUUUCUUGAAUAAUUUCCUUUAGUAUUAUGUCCAGGCUUUUUCUUUUGUCAUGUUCUUCUGGUAGACCAAUAAUUUUUAUGUUGUCUCUACUCGAACAAUUUUCUAAAUCCUCUAUUUUGUGAAUUCAUAUUUUCCUCAAAUUUUUCAUUCUUUUGGUUUUGUUUUAUAGUGUCCUGCUGCCUUGUGAGGUCACUUGAUUCCAGUUGUUGUAUUAUGGUUCUUAAAGACUGGAUUUCAUCCCUGGCUUUUUAGUCAUCCUUUUCCUUUUGUCUGAUUUUCUUUGGAGGUCAUCUUUCAUCCUCUUUACCUCGUCUUUCAUCUCCUUUGCCUAGUUUUCCACCUGGUUGAUUUUGGCUUUCAAGACACUAUUUUUUGUUUUAGUUCAUGUGCCUCUGUUUCCAAAUGACUCAUCUUAGUUUUUAAGUUCUUUUUCCUAUUGUCUUCAGCCUCCCUUAAUUGUUUUUUUUUUUAUUUUUCCACAGCCUGCAUUCAAUUUGCUGGGAUUUUUGAUUCAUUGUUUGCUGAUCUCACCCCCUCUGUUCUGUUUGCUGAAUAGAAGCGGACUAUUGUAAUUUCUUCUUUUUCUGUUUUUUGCUCAUAUUUACCCCUUCUUUGCUCCCUAUAUUUGUCUGUGCUUUUGCUCCUCUCAUUUUUUUUUGGUUUGGGGACUUUCUGUCAGUUUCCCUGCUUGGAGAUUUGUUAGAUCUCUCAGUGCAGUCUCUGGGGGAGGAGUGUUGUCUUCCCUGUCCUCUGGAGGCUUUUUAUGGGAUUAAGUUCACCUGGGUUGGGAUUUAUGUGCUCUGAGGCCAAAACCUCCUGGAAGGCUGGAACCAAAUGGAAGGUUUCAGCUGCCCCAGGCUGUCUCCAGUUCUCUCCAGAUGAUUCCCCACUUCCUGCUUUUGAUUCUCUGAGCCUGGCACAGCCCUGCCCGCAUGGUACACUCUCUAUACCAGUACAUUUGCCCACCCAGAUGUUCCCACUGUCGCUUGGGGCUCAGUGCUCUAGGUGGUGGGGAGGGGUCCUGGGACCUUCCUUCUGCCUUCCCCUUAAACCAGAGUGUUCUUGGAUUCUGGCCUUUGGGGGGGGUGUACCUUUUGAAUUGAGUCCAGCAGGAGGGUUCCCCGGCUCUGUCUUGUUGUUAGUUUUGAUUUUCAGUCCCCUAGGAGAAUUUAGUUUGUGAUCAGUAAGGAAGAGUUUUCAGAGGUCUGAACUAUUACUGCUGCUAAACUGCCAUCUUGACUCCCUAAAUAGGCAAUUAACAAUAAUUAAUAAAUAUAACCUAUUUAGCUGUACCAACUGUGAUUAAGGUAUGUAUAAGGGGAAGAGAUAAGAGGUAAACAACUAAAUAUUUUGAUUUUUAUUAAUGGGAAAUGGGAUAGGAAUGAAGGUAACAAAGGAGCAGGGAAAUUUCUUAAUCUUAUCCCCAAAACUAAUUCCCCUUAAUACUAUCCUAUUGACUAACUUCCUAAGCUAAAUAAGUUAAGGUUCCCCCAAACAGAAUCUCACAAACAAAGUCCAGAUAUGAGCCAAGAUCCCAGAGGAAAAGCCCAAAUUAGGUCCAGUAAAGAUUUGAAGACUCUUUCCUUGGUCUUCAAACUAGCUGCCAGCAGUCUGUUCAAGUCUCUCUCUCUUCCAGUUGGUAUCUCACAAGGGCCAAGAUAUCUUGUACAUAGGUGUAAAUCACAGCUACCUCCAAAAGUUUCAGCAAGAAGUCUGUUUUCAGUUGGGACAACACCAUCCCCCUUGGAAUCUUGACCCAGGCCCUCAUGUGGUUCUGAGUUACAUGCUCCUGCCAAUCAAAAUAGUCUUUUCUCUACUUAUUACAGUAAGUCAUGUAUUCCUUUGGCAUACCUAGUAAAGUCCAUGAACACAUUCUCAGAAUUAUGUCAUAAAUACAUAGGAUUACAAAGGAAAACAAUUAUAUAAAUUAUAUCGUUAUUAAAUAGUUAUGUGUAUAUGUAGAUUUAUAUGUAUAUCUAUAUCUAUAUAACAAAUUCAUAAACCUCAGUUCAAGAAUCCUUGUUAUAGAGAGCUGUGUUAAUAUUGGGGAUGGGGAUAGAGUGAAUUGCCAAGGUUUCCAAGGGCCAAUAUGUGUCAUAGAUUGUCCUUGAACCUUAGUAUUCCUGACUGGGGCCAAUCCUUUAUCCAUUACAUGAUCUCUCCCAGAGAGAUCUGCAAUAAGCUUAUAUCUCAAGAUGCUUGUCUAUGUAUUCAUCUAAGUUGUUUAUGUAUACAUCUAUAUUGUUAUUUAUGUACAUAAAACAUAUAGCUGAGGACAUCUUUUAGAAUGUUUAUGUUUUCUUUUGGAACUAUCCCAAUUGAACUUGACAUUAAAGCUGUCACUCUGCUUUUGCAAGGACAUGGAACAUUUAAACACUACAGCUUGGGUUUCUGACAGCAUUUGUUUAGAACCCUUAACAGUGCCUCAAUCAAUUUUUCCUUUGGUAAGAUGGACAGCCCUAUUGAAUGCUUCUUAAUAGGUUCAAGCCAGACAUUAUCUCCAUUUUAUUCUUUUCUUCAGACCAAGAGAAAUGUUGAGGUCUGCCAAAAUGGUCACUGGUUCUAGCAAACAGGCCAGUUGUUUUUGCUGGCCUAGCAUGCAAUGAGAACAUCUUUCUGACAGCCUAUCCUUUUUCACAGGGACCAUGGGGCCAUCCCUUUUUGAGGAUAACCUUUUCGGUCACUCUAGUGAUACUGAUCAAAUGCACACCAGCCUUUUGAAAAGGUGAAACCAGUUGUUCCUGAGAAUGCCAGCUGAAGCAAUGGGAGUUUAGUUCCCAUUCCAAGGAAACAGGAAAACCCAGAAACUCAGGUCAACUUCCAGAACAGGUAUGGGACUAGGAUGAGUGAAGUUCAUCAGCUCUUGUGGCCUCCCUCCAUCUCCUAGUGUCUGGCUAGCUGAUAUGGAUGGUCACCCAGAAUUCAACCUGUUGUAAAAUUAAAGAAGAAAAUACAGGGUAAGUGCAAGGAUGGUAGGUGCUUCUUAUUGUGUAGAGACAAUGUCUUCAGUAUCUUUUGUGAAAUUUGGCGUUUUCCAGUACAGUGUAGUUCUCUGUGGACAACUAAAACACUGCAGAUUGAUGGCUGACAUUCAGUAGAGGGGACAAAAGUGUUCAAGAGUAUCCUUGUGGCAUCAUAAGACUGCAGAUAUAGAUCUGGAAGAAACUCAGAGGCCAUCUAAUCCAAUCUUCUCAUUUUACAGAUAAGACCUAUGUAGAUUAAAUAACUUGAUCAAGGUAACAAAGGUGGUCAAUGUCAGAGGUGAGAAUUAACCCCUGCUAGGUCCUAUUACCACAGGAGAAGGAGAGUUCUUUACAGGGUUAUCUAAAGUUAUCUUUCCAGGAAAAAUUACUUUAAUCAUGAAAAUAAAUUGGUUUUAACAAGAGAAAAAGUCUCUCAUGAUUAACUAGUUUGAAUAUGGGGAAAUGUCAAAGAAGAGCAUGGAAAGCUUUCUGGAUUAAUAAUGACAAAACCCAAGGCCUAGUUCUGGCUCUGCAAUCAAUGACUAUAAUUUUAACCUCAUAUAAUCUGUUCAUAUUAUUUUUCAUUUUACAGAUUACUUGAUUUGUGUCCACUACAUAUUUAUUGGAAUGCUUCUAGAAAUCUUGAAUCAACACUCCUUUGUUUCAUUCCCUGUACUUCUUCUUUCAAUGAUUUGGAGAAAAAAAAAGGAUUAGUAACUAGCCCUGAGUAAAGGUAGCAGCUCAGAAAAAUCUCUUAAUUCCUGGGGAUUCUAUUUUCUCUAUCCUUUGAAGCAGUUCAAUGGAAAUAUUUCACAAUGUGGCUAAUAGUUAGACUGCUAAUCAUCUUGUAUUUUAGAUUCAAUUUAACAUAAAAUAAUAAUUAGAAGGAAGGUCUAUUGGUUUCUUGUCUGAGGCAGGAAUGAACAAGAUUGGCUGGUUAUUGGGGCAGAUUGGUCAGUCAUUGUGAUAGAACUCAAAAUGAAAUGUAAGUUUUACAAUUAAUUUAACUGUCAGGGACUUCGGUAUUAAUUCUUUAAAGCCACAUGCUGGACCAAGACUUGGAAGUCUGUAGGCCUGAGGAUGGCAGCCAAAUUUAGGCAGGGACCAAAAGAGUCCUAAGUACUUCUGUGAAGAAACUAGAACUUCACAGAAAGGGACUUCUUCCUGUUGGUUGUUGAAAGACUCAUCUGAGCAACUGUUUCCUUAUUCUUAGAGCCAAUUCUACCAUGGUGGCAGCUGCUAUGAGAGGAAAGUUGGGAGCCACAGGAUAAAGAAGGCUGGAGUAGAAAAACAGACUGGGGGGGUGGGGCAGGAAGGUGAAGAAAUGAUGUACAGAUAAUGAGAAUAACAGAACAUUCAGAAAAUGAAGCUAUUUUGAUGUCACACCAAAAAUAUUUAGCAAGUUUAUGAAUGAUGAGGGAAAUGGGAAGAAGAAAUCAACAGCAUUUAGACUCAAAUGAACUUCUAAUGGCAAUCGCAGCAAAUUCAAAGGAUGUAAUGAAAUCCUGAAGGGGAAAACAAAAUCUAAGCUGGAAGACUCAAAGACCAUAUUGUGUAAGGAUCAAGCAAUGUCACUCAAGGAGAAGGGACUGAAUAAUAGAACUUUAUAUACUAACCAAUGCCUUUCUUAAGACCAUAUGUAUUCUGAAAAGACACUUAGGACAAUUUAAAUUCAUUCAAUACCUUGGUUAAUAUUUACUGAAGCUGGACCAGCAUACAGGGUUGAUUAUAGUAGAAAUUUAAUGAGGUUAAGGUCAUGAAAUUAAUAUUUUUAUGGGUCAGAUGUCUCUGUUCUGCUUUUAUGACUACAAAUUUCCAGGUGCCUUUAACCUCAAGUUAACCAUCUCAGAUAUGCAUGCUAUUUGUCAUGGGGUUGGGGUUAGAAUGCAAGGGAAUAAAGGUUACUCAGUCAGUUCAUCAACAGUAAACUACCAGUGGAAAAUCAAUCCAAAACAUAUGCUUUACUGAAGGUGGGUCAGUAGUUUCAUAUGAUCCUAUAAUAUUUUAUAUGGCAAAUUUGUAUACAAACAAUAGCCUUGAGUCGGACUCAGUGAGGGUCAGGAAAAUGCAGGUAUUUAGCCUAGAGAAGGUAAUAUGAAGGUGGGACUUGAUAGUUGUUUUCAAGGAUGUUAGUGGCUACUAUGUAGAGAAGAGAUUACAUUUGUUCUGUUUGGCUUAAGAGGGGGAACUUUAUUUUUGAAAUGAGAUUUCAACUCAUCUACUGGGAUUGGUAAAAAAAAAAAUAUCAAGAGGGAAGUGGAAAUGUCAGAAGUAUUAUUUGGUUCCCAUUGACAUCUAUGGAAAAGCUGUAAUGCCAAGGCAAGGAGAAAAACUUAAGGUUUUUGUGAUUCAAGAAUUAGUGGCAGAUGCAAUAUUUUAAUUUUUCAAAUUAAAGAAUUUGGACAGUUACAAGAGCCAUUUAAAUAAGUCAAUGAAACCUUAGAACAAUGGUUAACAAAGAUUUGGUCUAAUUGGAGAGUUUUAGAGUAUUUAUUGGUUAUUCUAUAAAUCAGUUGAAUUAAUGGGAGACUGCUAUAUUUGGGGAGCCCUCUUUAUCAUUUCUCAGAUGGAUCAAGAGUGGGGAGUUCUGCAUACUUGGUCCCACAAAUAUGGUUUCCUUUUACUACUAAAUCUCCAUAUUAUUGAGUUACUAUAACUCAGAAAGGGGGAGGGGUACUAAACACCUAAGAACUAUUAUACCAAGUAAUUCAAUGGAUUCAUAGAUAUUCCUCUUUUCCAUUAGAAAUUAUAAGGGACAAGCCACUGAAGAAAGGUGUAUUUUGUUUUAGUGGAGGUAGGAGGAAAACCUCCUGUUUAAACUUCAGUUGUAGUGACUGAUAAAGGUGAGUGAAUUGUAGGUAUGAAUAUUAUGAAUUCUUCAGGGUCAUUACCUACUUCAUCACUUGUAUUAGCUUCUAUGCAUGUUAAUUUGGCUAAGACUAAAUAAAAUUCCUUUCAGUCAUCUAAAUUAUUUUAUGUUGUUACUAUUGAAUAUAGCUACUAUUGAAUAAUAUUAGGAUGUGGGAGAAGGGACUAUAUUUCCUGCUUAAUCAUGGAGAUUGAGGAUGGAGAAUUCUGUCAUACAAAUUCCCCAUUGGCUAGUGAGGAAAAUGGAUGGCAUCUGACAACUGACAGGACAUUAUGGAGAAUUGAAUAAAAUCAUUAUGCUGAUUGCUGUGGCUAUUCCUCCUUUUGUCAUUAUAGUGGAUCAAAUAGACUAUGUCUAGAAGAUUAGUGAUAGAUUUUAACAUUUUCUUCACCAUCUCUGUGAUCAGGACGAGUCAGGGAAAGUGUUUUUUUUUUUUUAAUUUGGGAAAGAGUCAAGGAUAUUUUAAUCUUUCUUCAGAACCAUUUAAACAUCCUUUCUUAUUGUCACAUUUUGGUGGACAAAGACAUGAAAGUAGUCCUAUCUACUAGGAGCAUCAAUGCCCACCAUUAUUGUUGUUGCUCAGUCAUUUUUCAAUUCUGCCCAACUCUUUGCGAUCCCAUAUGAAAUAUUGUUAGCAAAGAUAUGGGGACUUUUUGCCAUUUCCUUCUCCAACUCAUUUUACAGAAGAGCAAACUGAGGUGAACUAGUUUAAGUGAUCUUCCCAGGAUCACAAAGCUUCUAAGUGUCUGAGGCCAGAUUUGAACUCCAAGGAAUGAGUUUUCCUGAUUCCAGGCCCACCAUUCCAUCUAGUGCACCACCUAACUGCCUUUGCCCACCAUUAUAUUGAUAAUGUAAUGUUGCCUGGCAUAGAUUAAAACCACAGUGCCAGGGGCCUGAGAUCAGAUGACGAGUCAUAAAACAAGGAAUAAGAGACUAACUUAAAGAAAGUUUGGGAUUCACCCUAUUGUAUUAAAUUUUAGGGAUAAAUUUGGCUGUGGAAAACCCAGAUAAUUUUGGAUCUAGUCUGUAUUGAUACCUCUUCCUAUGCCAAACAAGAAAAAAAGCUUAGAAGCUUACUGAAUCAUUUGGGUAUUGUGAAGAUUUCUAAUGUUUUAAAAUUGACUUUUUUGAGUGGGAACUGGAGGAGCCUAUAGCUUUGUAUUUAUAGUUUCUUUUCAAGGUUUACAAAAAUCUUUUACAAAUCUUUAAUUCUCUUAACAACCUUGAUAUAGGCAGGUGAUUUUAGUAUGCAAUUUUAUAGAUAAAGCCAUUAAGGCAGACAGAAAUGAAAUACCUAGCUCAGUCAAAGCUAGUUAAGUAUUUGUGGCUGAAUUUGUACUCAGGACUUCUUGAUUCCAGGACUAGUAUUUUGUUCAGUGCACCAUCUAGCUCAGGAUUUAGCUCUGGAUGACUUAUUCUGUGUCUCCAUUUGAGUCCUUAGGAAUCUUUGGGGCUGAUGUUACUGAAGGUUUGGAUAGUAAGGAUUCUAAAGUGAGUGGAGCCUUUGGCAGGCACCAAAGGAUGACCUGAUUGAAUAAUUAUUGGACUUUUGGAGCUCUAAGGUCCUUGAAGUAUCUGUUCAUACUAUUUUUGAGAAAUAAUUGCUUUAAUGCUACUGCAUGCAUGCAAAUAAUACUACCAAAUGGAUUAUAUGAGGGGGUGAAUAUUAUGGACCUCACUUAGCCUCUCAGGUGUUGGUGUCCUUUAUAGAUGGGUUUUAAAGUUGCUGGAGGCUAAACCUUCUAGUCCCAGUACUAAUACUUUGCCUUUUCUAUUUAACUUAUGGUCCCUUGAUUUUGAGGAUCUAACUCUUGAAGAACUUAAUUUUGCUUGAUUUACUAAUGGUUUUGCUCACUAUUAGAAAGUUAUACACAACUAGACUUCAGCAGCAAACAGCUCAAUAACUAGGAACAUCUUGAAUGACAGGAGUUCUGGUAAGUCCUUCCAGUGGUCUGAACUGUGAGCUCCAUGGAAGAAGCCCUAGGGUUGGAACAGAUAAAAUUGUUACUGAUUCUUGGAUGAUGACUGCUUUUGGCUGUGGAGUCUAGGGUCUGGAGGUAAUAAAAUUGGAUAAUUAAAGGCUUUGUGAUUUGGGAUCAGGAUCAGUGGAAGAAUUGUGAUUAUGUUUCUCACAACAUACUCAUGGAACACUCCAGUAAUCACUAGGUAUUCAGUACCUGCUAAACUGCAUAACGAAUUUACUGCUAGCAGAAGAGUAGCCAUUGGACAAUGGAUCCAUCACAAUCUGUGUAUGGAGAUCAUGAGGUAUGGAUGGAACAAUAUGUUUGUUGGUUUUAACCUGCUUCUUCACAAUGAUGUUUUUCAGAUCAAUGAGAGCAUCUGUAUUUUAAGAAUCAAUAUGGCACAAACUCAUGUGGUCUUUGACCUGCCUGUGAUUGUCAAAUUGAUCAUAUGAACCUUGUUUCUCUAUCGUAUAACAAGAUAUUUGCCCUCACAACUUCUAGUACAUAUUCAGGAUGUGGAAUUACAGUGUCAGUUAAGAAUUCUCAAAUAGCAGCUAUUAUCAAGGUCUUUAUAGUACAUAUCCUUUUUGCCUAUGGUCUCCAUUGUAACACUGCUUUUAAACAUUGUUCUCAUUAUACUUCAAUGAAGAUCAGGAUUUAUCAUGCUAUCCUAGUCACGGGGUUGGUUUAUAAUUUUCCAUAAUAUCCCAAAGAAGCUGGGGUUGUGGAAUACUGAAACAUACAUUUAAAAAACAUUUUCAUGAUUAUCUCUUUGAAUGAAUUUGGCUAUACUUUCUCUCAAAGGCUGUCUUUGAAGAAUUUAUACUAAUCUAGUGUAAACCAGUAAGAGCAAUGAUUCUCUACUCCGGAAGCUUCUUGCAUCUAGUCUUCAGGAAAACUUGCCUAUUCACUAUACAUGGAUAUGACUCCAGUUGACCUUUAGUCUUUAUUACAUCCUUUUAUCUCUUAAUUCAGAGAUGAUCUAGACUUGUGAUAGAGAUUGAGGACAACACUGGAUGCAAUAUAUCAAAGUUGAUAUUUCUGUUGUUGCAUUUGGGCACCAUGAUUGUAUUUUCUCCAAAACUUAAUGAACUUAUAACAUCACUACUCCAUUGUUUUAAGGCAAUUAUUAUACUGUUUCAUGUUAUAGCUAUUUGAUGCUCUCCCCUUAGAUUUUGGGAUUGUUUUUAUAUUGUUCUAAUGGUGGAAGGUCACCUGAAGUAUUUGGGACCUCAACACUGAGAGUUAAUAUAUGGUUGGAAUUUGACCAUAGGACUCUCCUGUGAAUAGUCAUCAGUACCACUUAAUGGUUAAAUGUAUUUGUCUCCUCAAAGUAGCAUAGAUAUAAUUUGUGAACAUACUUGACCUCUUAUUUUUUCCCUUAGAAUUUUAUUUUGAAUAAUGUAUUGCAUUUCUUUUUUGUUUUUGUUUUCCCCCCUUUUUGAUUUAGCCCACUCAGGAGAUAUACAUUUAAUAGGUAGAUGAAUGAUAAAGCAAUUAUUUAGAUCUCACUAUGUGCUAGGUACUUUAAGCAUAAGGAAUAUGGACAAGAUAAUUCCUUCUGUCAAGAAGUUAAUAUCCUAAAUGGGAAAUAACAUAUAGAAGGAAGCUAGGAGGAAUGGUAUAAUAGGAUAGCAUCAGUUUGAUUGGAAAUGGUGGAUGCCAAAUUAUGUAGAAGCUUUAUAAGCAAGAUAAGACAAAAAUUCAUCUAUCAGAGCCUAGGAUGAUUCAUGGGGCAGAAUUUAAUAUUUUACUUGGUGAGGGAUCAGGCAUAUGAGGAUGAUGGUCUGAGUGUAGGUAGUAUGAUCAAGAAUUGGUAUCUGUGAAAUUCCCUGCUCUCUGUGGUUAUCAGAGAGAAUUUGAGCCCCUCAAUCUCUCUGCUCUACCUCUCUUUCCUGGAUUGUGCCAUUUGUUGUCUAAGGGUAUGUGUAUUUGUGCAUCUACCAAUCAACACUUAAUUCCUAGUCCCCUUGAUUACUCUACCUCUUUUUGAAUUUAAUACAUUUCAAUGAAUUCCAGUGAUGUGAACUUGGCAUAAGGAGGUGGUUCCCUAAAAAAAAGGAGAUACACCUACUAGACUGUUGAAUACAAUGGUUUUGCUUUAGCAUAAAAUCAUUAAGUGGACAAAAAGUUUUUUAUGAGAGAAUGCAAUGAAUAAUAGUAAACAAUAACAUUUAAGUAAUUGCUUCAGCUCCUCAGCUAUCCUAGAAUCCUGGAUGUUUCCCAGACAAAGGAUUGAUUGGGACCAAGGCAUUCUCACAGAUACACACUUAAAAUUUUAUUUUGAUGAGGCUAAAGGGUAUAACAAUAUAGCUCUACCAGAUUAUCAAAAGGUUUAAUGUCACAAAAAGGUGACUAUAUCAAUAGAAUUAGAUAGAAGCAUAAAGGAUGCCAUUAAUAAGGACAGGAAGCUUUUGAUUUUUUGCUUCUUGAAUUCCUGGUAAGGCUAACCUAGCUUUAAGAAAAUUAUGCAAGGUGGGGUGGGGCCAAAAUGGUGGCUUAGUAGUAGCAAAAGCUGGAACCACUUGGAGAAUCCUCUCAAACCAACCUCAAAAUAGCAUCUCAAAACAUUAGUAAUCACAAGACCAACAACAAGAUGGAGUGAGAGGGCUCUCUUGCAGAAAACAACUUGAAAGGUAUGCAGAGGAAGUCUAAUUUCACUAGAAUAAGUGAGAACCAGAAGCAAAACUUCACACAAAUGCAUGUAGGUCAACCAUCACACACUUAUUGUACCAGUUUCCAAGGCAUAGGCCAACUUCAGGAUCCUGGAAACCUGCCUAUGUCAAUAGCAGAGCUCUCCACACACAUCCCUUGAAGUCCUAAGCCCAGGCACCAGCCUCCAGUGAGGCCACAAAGUCUAUAGCCCUUGGCACUUUAUACUCUGCAGUGUGGUGAAGUCCUAGACCCAGAGCAAAAUAGCUCACAGUGCUAAGUCCUGCAAGUCAUCAGCAGAGGAAAAAUAAUCAACAUUUUUCAUAUCUCAAAAAAAAAGCCUAGGAAAAUGAGCAAAAGUAACAACUAACCACAGAUCUAUGGAGAGAAAUAACAAGGAACAGAUUUAGUAAGGGACAGUGAGAAAAAAGCAAUCACAUGCAAAACUUCAAAGAAAAAUGGGAAUUGGUCUCAGGCACUAGAAGAACUCAAAAAAGAAUUUAAAAAGCAAAUAAAAUAGGUGUAAAUAAAAUGUAAAAAAGAAGUGAAAGUAAUACAAAAAGAAAAUAGCAUUAAAAAAGAAAAAUGCAUCAAGUGGAGAAAGAGACAAAAAAAUCCAAUGAAGAAAAGAGCCUCAUGAAAAGUAGAAACAAAACAAAAAUAGAAAAAAAUGCAACUAGGAUUAGAAGGGAAACAAUAAACUGGGAAACAUUUUAUAACAAAUAUCUCUGAUAAAGGUUUCAUUUCUCAAAUAUAUAAAAAACCAAGUCAAAUUCAUAAGACUACAAGUCAUUCUCCAAUUGACAAAUGAACAAAGGAUAUGAAUAAUGUAAUGGAGGAGAUAAGUGGAAGGAGGAAAAGGACAGAGGAGAAAGGAGGCUGAAGGGAUUGGGUUUUCUCCUCUGUUACUUAUGGAGAGAGGUAAGCCAGGUCCUAUCUCCUUGAAAAGGGUAUGACUCCACAGGGAUGUUAUUUGGGAGAUGGAGGAUAGGAGACAGGAGAGAGGUUUGAUCAAUGAGGUGGCACUGUGUCUCUCUCAGAGAAGUUACAGCCCCUGAGGACAGAAUUAUCCCUGUGAGACAAGAUAACCCCUUGUAAAAUCCCAAAUCCCAAGGGGACAUCAACUGCCAGCCCCCCAGGGGUUUUAUAAGGAUGAUAUUAGAAAAAAAGUAUUGUUUUAUUAGUUUAGGGAUAAAAAGUAAAGUGCCUGGAUUGAGAAAAGAACUGGAGUUUGAAGCAAAACUGAGAGAGGCAAAGAUGUUAGAAAUCCUUCUUUAUCCUGAAAUUAAACAGUUUCAAUAAAUAUUUUAUUUUAUAACUUGCCAAUUUAUUUUUAUGGUUUGGCAAGCUAAAUACGACAAAGAAUCUAACUAUCAGAUUUUAAAGGUCCAAUUGUCAAUUUAGGCAAUUGGAGCCAUUAUCUCAUCAGGGGAUCCGUGAAAGCAGCUAGAGGUGAGCUGUGGUAACAGUGAGCUGAACUCUAGUUGGCUACAGUCAACUUGAUACAAAGACUUUACUCUCAGAAAACCUGGUGAAUAGCUACAUAAAAUCAUCAUGGGAUUUUCUCUAUUACAUAUUUCUCUCAUUUUCACUAUUGUACCAGAAGAUGUGCAAAAUGUAAUUGCCUAUCACUUCCUAAUGCCAGUACUCUCACUGAUGUUUCUACAACUAAUCUCUUAUGUCCCUGUUCUACUAUUGUUUAUCUUAUGCUUUUACAUGAUGAUCAAAUCUUUCGCAGUUGUGUUUAAACAUUUAAAAGCAAGCAUCAAGCAAACUACUGCAAACAGUGAUCUAACUAUCUAGAGACUAAACUAGAUAGAAUGCAAACUCAAUAUAAAAAAAUUACUCAAGGCUAAAGGGACAGUGUCAGAAACUAAAGAACAUGAAGCAACUAAAUUAGAGAGUGCACCUAAAUCAAAUAAUCCAACUAAAUUAGAAAUGGAAACUGAAGUAUUAGAAAGCAAACCAUCUCAUAUAUUUCCUCUAAGGGAGGUACCCAUAGUGUCCCCAGAGCAGGCUGAUAGAGACAGUUUCAAGAAAAAUACUCCAUCAUAUGAAGAAGAACCUAUUGGUGUUGUAAAGCAGUUCAAGUAUUUAAUUAAGCUUUACUAUCCUUCUUAUGUGAACUUUGACAUUCUUAUGAAUGAAUUAUUAACCAAAAGGGAGAAACAGCAGAUUAUACAGCAUACUAAUAAUAACCCCAUAAUUGCCAAUUGGCCAACUUGGGAUCCUGGUUGGGAAUAUAACUCUUUUGCGGGGUACAGAGACUUAACUAUAGCCAGGGAGGCAAUAAUUGAAACUAUGAGGCAAAAUUACAGACACCCAGGAACCUAGUCUAAAUUUGAGUGCCUAAAGCAGGAAGUGGGAAAGACUCCUUCCACUUUCCUUGAUAGACUUAUUGACUGUGCAGAAAAAUUGAUUGUGUUGGAUACUUUAACAGAUGAAAAUGUAAAUAAUAUUCACAGGCAGUUUGUGAAAAAUGCAUGCCCUGUGGUCUGAAAGUAUUUUCUGAGUAACUGUCCAAAUUGGUUUGACAUGGGUCUUGAUGAAAUUUGGAAGAUUGCUAACUAUGUUGUCUAAGAUAAGAAAGAUAGGCAAUCUGAAGAGAAAAAUGAUAACUUAACCAAAGAAAUUAGAUAACUUAAACAAAAACUGAAAUUCAAUGAAGUUCAGGAAAAAAACUAUAGUUGCACUUUCUCAUGAGAGAAUGCAGAUUUAGGGGACAAUUCUUUGGACAAAGCUUCAGGGGAAACUGAGGCAAUAGAUUAAUUGCUUUAAUGGAUCUAGGCAAAAUGGACAAAGAAAUUAUGGGUUUAAUAAUGGAUUUAAUAAUGCAUUACAGUAUGGGAGACCAAACUACCCAAAUUCUUUUGAUAAUGGAUGCUACCAUAAUUCUCAACAAGCUGCAGACCUUAAUACCAUGCAAGAAUAUAUCAAAGCAGGUUUUCGUCCAAAAUAUUCCCAAGUAGCUGGUGGGAAUCCCCCAAAAGUUGAUAUGUAAAAAGGUGCCACUUCAUUAUGAAGGUGUGCCAAGGCUUGUGCAAUUAAAAAUAUAGUAUAUGGAGAAAAUAAACUAGGAAGUAUGGGCAAUGGAAUAAAAGCUAAUAAAAAUGACAAAGAUUUAAAACAUGGGAAAUUAGUGCAGAAGGAAUCAAUGAAGAAUUAGAGAAUGAAGAACAGGAAGAAGUGUUGAGUUUUCCUGAUCCUAGUGUGUUAGCUCCUGUGAUACCUGUCCAUUCUCCAGAAAAUAGCACAGAACCCAUGAAACCCUAAAAAUAAGAGCACAAGUGUAUGAUUGUCUCUUAGACACAGGUAUUGCCAAAUCUGUGUUGCAGAAAUCCCCCAAAGAGUGCAAAUCAGUAGGUUAAAUAGAAGUUGUGUUUGUGAAGGGUGUCCCUUAGAUUUUGCAUUCCAUUAGAUAAAACCUGAGGAUUCUGUUUACGUAAAAAAAAAAAAAAAGUUAAUAGAACUAGUACAACACAACCAUUAUGGGUAGGACCUUUCCAUGUUAUUUUGACAACACUGGCAGCUAUUCCUGUAUUAGAGAAAGAAUCCUGGCUGCAUUGCUCACAUGUGAAAAAAGCAGCAGCAAUAGAAGAAGAGAUUACUUCAGACAACAUGGCUGCAGUCAAGAAGAAUGAAACAAAGGCAGAGACCAAGAUCAAGGCAAAGGAGAAGACAAUAUAGAAGAAACAUAGAUGACAGCAAAAAGGACAAUUGAACUAUAUCAAAGACAUUGCAGAAAACUUCAACACAGAGAAGAGGAACACAGACUGAUUAGGGACAUGAACAGUAAGAUUUUUGCACCAUUAUGAUAUUACACACUUUCACUAUAGUUGCAAACAAACACUAUAUAGUAACAACAUGAAGACAGAAGACAGUAGCAGAAUAGGUGACUAAAAAUUUAGUAUUUGCUACAAAUGCUACAAAACAGCAUACACACAUAGCACACAUUUCUCAUAAACUCUGCAACAUUAUAACCAGAUUAAUGAGUAUCCACAGAAAUAAAUGAAUAUAGAUAAAUCACUUUUGGAAAAUGAUAAUUCUACACAUUAAAAUAAUAUCUUAUCUCACAGGAAGACUUUAUGUGUUCCUGGGUGAUAAAAUCAAGAAAACAUACAUAACUUUCUAAAGAAAAUUUUAAAGUUUUUCUUAGACUAUCUUAAGGGGAGAAGUUUAUUUUCCUCCUGCAACAUGUAAAUAGUUUGUAUAUAAUGUAUACAUAGGUGUAGAAAUUGUACAGAUCUGUAUAUUUAUUUAUAUAUAUAUAUAUAGCUAAAUUAUUUUAAAGUUUUGAUUUUAUUAGUAUAUUAAGUUGAUUUUGAGUUUUAAUGUAGUCAGUUUUGGUUUUCUGUAUUAGCAA